rnacentral:rRNA from 1 species
GAUGAACGCUGGCGGCGUGCUUAACACAUGCAAGUCGAACGAUGAAGCCCAGCUUGCUGGGUGGAUUAGUGGCGAACGGGUGAGUAACACGUGAGUAACCUGCCCUUGACUCUGGGAUAAGCCUGGGAAACUGGGUCUGAUACCGGAUAGGAACGUCCACCGCAUGGUGGUUGUUGGAAAGAUUUAUCGGUCAUGGAUGGGCUCGCGGCCUAUCAGCUUGUUGGUGAGGUAAUGGCUCACCAAGGCGACGACGGGUAGCCGGCCUGAGAGGGUGACCGGCCACACUGGGACUGAGACACGGCCCAGACUCCUACGGGAGGCAGCAGUGGGGAAUAUUGCACAAUGGGCGAAAGCCUGAUGCAGCGACGCCGCGUGAGGGAUGACGGCCUUCGGGUUGUAAACCUCUUUCAGUAGGGAAGAAGCGAAAGUGACGGUACCUGCAGAGGAAGCACCGGCUAACUACGUGCCAGCCGCCGCCGUAA